rnacentral:rRNA from 1 species
GACGAACGCUGGCGGCGUGCUUAACACAUGCAAGUCGAACGGAAAGGCCCUGCUUUUGUGGGGUGCUCGAGUGGCGAACGGGUGAGUAACACGUGAGUAACCUGCCCUUGACUUUGGGAUAACUUCAGGAAACUGGGGCUAAUACCGGAUAGGAGCUCCUGCUGCAUGGUGGGGGUUGGAAAGUUUCGGCGGUUGGGGAUGGACUCGCGGCUUAUCAGCUUGUUGGUGGGGUAGUGGCUUACCAAGGCUUUGACGGGUAGCCGGCCUGAGAGGGUGAUCGGCCACAUUGGGACUGAGAUACGGCCCAGACUCCUACGGGAGGCAGCAGUGGGGAAUAUUGCACAAUGGGCGGAAGCCUGAUGCAGCAACGCCGCGUGCGGGAUGACGGCCUUCGGGUUGUAAACCGCUUUCGCCUGUGACGAAGCGUGAGUGACGGUAAUGGGUAAAGAAGCACCGGCUAACUACGUGCCAGCCGCCGCCGUAA